rnacentral:rRNA from 1 species
CAGCUAGCUGGUGGGGUAAGAGCUCACCAGGGCGACGAUCGGUAGCUGGUCUGAGAGGACGAUCAGCCACACUGGGAUUGAGAACGGCCCAGACUCCUACGGGGGGCAGCAGUGAGGAAUUUUCGUCAAUGGGGGCAACCCUGAACGAGCAACGCCGCGUGCAGGAAGAAGGUUUUCGGAUCGUAAACUGCUUUUCUCGGGGACGAGCAAGGACGGUACCCGAGGAAUCAGCCCCGGCUAACUACGUGCCAGCAGCCGCGGUAAUACGUAGGGGGCGAGCGUUGUCCGGAGUUACUGGGCGUAAAGCGCACGCAGGCGGUUCUUUCAGUUCAACGUGACAGUCGUCGGCUCAACUGACGAAGGACGAGGAAGACGGGAGAACUUGAGGGCUUCAGAGGGACACGGAAUUCCGGGUGGAGUGGUGAAAUGCGUAGAUAUCCGGAGGAACACCAACAGCGAAGGCAGUGUCCUGGGAAGUCGCUGACGCUCAGGUGCGAAAGCCAGGGGAGCGAACGGGAUUAGAUACCCCGGUAGUCCUGGCCGUAAACGAUGACCACCAGCGUGGGGGGUAUCGACCCCCUCCGUGCCGGAGCUAACGCGGUAAGUGGUC